rnacentral:SRP_RNA from 1 species
GCUGGGCACAGUGGCGUGUACCUGUGGUCCCAGCUACUUGGGAGGUUGAGGUGGGAGGAUCACCUAAGCCCAGGAGUUAUGGGCUAUAGUGCGCUAUGCUGAUCGGGUGUCCGCACUAAGUUUGGCAUCAAUAUGGUGACCUCCUGGGAGGAGGGGACCACCAGGUUGCCUAAGGAGGGGUGAACUGACCCAGGUCAGAAAUGGAGCAGGUCAAAACUCCCAUGAUGAUCAGUAGUGGGAUCGUGCCUGUGAAUAACCACUGCACUCCAGCCUGGGCACCAUAGCAAGACCCCGUCUCU